CGAGGAACUUUCUUCUUUGGAACUGCUUCUUGCAUGAUCUGUUUCGGAUAUUUCGUCUCCUGGCCUGGCUUAUUUCGUUUCGGCGCUGCUGAGACCUCCUUUCGCGGAAUAUUACUCAAUGACAGUGUGCGAAGAACGCGAGUUCACCUUCUUGACGUCUACAGUGUGCGAAGAACGCGAGUUCACCUUCUUGACGAAAAUCGUGGACUAACAGUUUGAAGUCAUUGAACUGCUUCCGAAGGUUGUAUCAACAUCAACAGGAUUACCAUUUCAGUGCAAUAUGAUGCAGGAUGACCUUAUCACGAUAACCCAUGAUUAUAAACCAUUAUAAACACAGAAUCAACAAAAACAUCUGCGACACGCACCUGGCUACA